GAUGAACGCUGGCGGCGUGCCUAAUACAUGCAAGUCGAGCGAACGGACGAGGAGCUUGCGUUUCUGAUGUUAGCGGCGGACGGGUGAGUAACACGUGUAUAACCUACCUAUAAGACUGGGAUAACUUCGGGAAACCGGAUCUAAUACCGUAGAAGAUUUUGAAGCGCAUGGUUCAAAGGUGAAAUACGGUCGUUCUGUCACUUAUAGAUGCAUCCGCGCUGGAUUAGGUAGUUGUUAAGGUAACGGCUUACCAAGGCAACGAUGCAUAGCCGAACUGAGAGGGUGAUCGGCCACCCUGGAACUGAGACACGGUCCAGACUCCUACGGGAGGCAGCAGUAGGGAAUCUUACGCAAUGGGCGAAAGUCUGACGGAGCAACGCCGAGUGAGAGAUGACGGUCUUCGGAUCGUAAAACUCUGUUAUUAGGGAAGAACAUAUGUGUAAGUAAAUGUGCAGAGAUUGACGGUAACUAGUAAGAAAGCAACGGCUAACUACGUG
rnacentral:rRNA from 1 species